UCCGCGCUUCCGCCCGGGCCGGCGGCGGCCUCCUGCCCGCAGCUCGCACGCUCGCGGGACCGAGUCCUCUGCUGGCUCCUCGGGCUCCGUCCCGUGUAGGAGCGGAACCUGGAGACGUGGCAGAAGACAGAAGCUCUCCCCUGUGAUGCGGAUAAGUGAGGCUGUGUCUAACAAGCAGUGCAGUAGAGACGCUGAGUAUGAUGACUUCUCUUGGAAAGUUGGACACCUGGGCUAGCUUGCGGCAUUGAUUGUUUCCUGGGCGUCCUCCCCCCACCCCCCGUGUGAAUGCAGAGUUAAUCAGCAAACGCUUUACUCUUACAAGGUAAUUUACACAUUUGCUUUCUGAUGGAAAAAAAACUGAAAACGUUAAGUCUACCAGCUGUUCAUGUCUUGUAUACAGAGUGUCAUAUGUAUUGUAUUUUUAUAAAGUGAAACCAAGUAGCAAUAAAUAAAUAAUAAAUUACAAAGUUGCUAAGAAA